GUGAAUCAUCAAAUCUUUGAACGCAAAUUGCACUCCCUGGUAUUCCGGGGAGUAUACCUGUUUGAGGGUCGUUUGAAUAAAAAAGCGAUGCGUCGUUUUUUGUUUGUGGGUGAUCGCGUCGGGAUUGAGCCGUCUUGCAAAUGUUAAUUCAUGUGAAAGUGGCUUAAAAUUCAUUCAUUCUGUACGAUUAAAUCGUAUUUAAGGUCGAUUUGGUUCAAGAACGCUCGAUUAUG
rnacentral:misc_RNA from 1 species